AGCUCCCCGACAGGAGGCCAAAGACUAGCCUUAGCUUUACAAUUUGCAACUAAAUAAAGUACCUGAACUUCCCCAAAAGAAGCUUUGUGAUGUUACUCUUCACUGUCUAAGAUUUUUGUCUUUCAAGCAGGUCAAUCUCCACCUUCAGCUAGACUGCAGUGGACAUGCAUCCCAGCCCCCUAGAACAUACAAGAGGCAGCUACUAUUUUCAUUUCAACAUGUUUUGUGACUUUUGGUCUGAGUUGAGAUUUAGGUUUACGAAGAAGGCUAGUAAGACAGAUAUUUCUAAUAUUAAAAGAGAUUGGUUUUUAUUUUGAUAGACGGCCUUAGUCCCUUAACUGGCCUCUGGCUUUUCACCCUUGCUGUUAUUGCAAGGUCCCCUUAGUUCCUCAGAAUGUAAAAAUAACAGAGAUAAGGAAGAUGACUUCCAGCUCCUAUUUCAGCCACAAAUCAUGAUGUUACUAAUGACAUAAUUCUUGCCUAGGCCUUGCUAAAUCUGAGGUUGACAAUUCUCCUUUAAGAGCUGCACAGUACUCAGAACUGUGCAUACUAGUUCGUAAUCAUACAAAUACAGUAUGGAUAUCGCUUAGUACAGAGAAUUACUACAGGGGGAGGUCCAUCCUGACCAUUUCUGAGUUCCCUGUGCGAUAUACCCUAUUUGACGGAGGUUGGUAUCUAUUGACAGCUAAAAACCAAAAAUAUCUAAGGCUCUGCGUGUUCUCCCCAAAAGAUACCAAGAGCCACAGGUGUAGGUCGUGUCAACCUCCAUGAGAGAAAUCAGGUCAAUGUCCACCCAAGCCAAGGUUAAAAGCCCACUCAUCUACAGAUGAGAAAAUCAUAUAAUCACCUCAGUUAAGCGUGGCCUUAUUAAACUUAAUUAUAGGGGAGGAGAAAGGUUAGAGACCGUACUGUUAAAAGGACAAGCCCUUCACAUCCUCCCACCCUAAAAAAGCCAAUUGGCCUUGUACUACGGAGUCAGUCGUUACCCCCUUCUCCCUGUUUCCCACCUGUCAUCCAAAAAUGUGGAGGAAUAUCAACUCAGUGUUAUUCUUAAUAUAGUACAUUUCAAAUUUGUUCAGUCAAACUUUGCCAGGGUUCCAACACCCUACUUAACAUUCAACUAGGAAGUUACCUAUUCAGCACUAAUUAGCAUUAUAAAGUCAGAGCCUUCUGCUUAGGGCUUUUCUGUUAGUUGUUUACUAGGAUAGAAAGGACAGUCUUAUCCAAAAACGGUUUACCAUAAGAAAAGUUAGGGAAUCCCACAGAGAUAGGUUUUUUUCUUUAGCCCUAAAAAUUCAGGCAGAACAAUUGAGCAUAGAUAAUUUUUUUUUUGCCUCAGGCCAGCCUUUUCUUUUUUUAUUUUUAUUAACAACAGGGAGGAGAUGUAGUCUCCUCUCCCCCAGCCUAAAACCCGCUUGCUCAGGGGUAGAGCUUCCUGCUCAAUCGUUCUGCCAUGCCCACUGCUGGAACCUGCCGAUUUGCUGUUUGGAGCCAUACACGUGGUAACCCUGCUACUGGACGCCAAGAUUAUUUGGCGGGAAUCGGGCCCCUCCCCCUUCCUUCAUAAUGGAGUGCCGGAAUAGUAAAAAUUGAACCUUGAGCAGAGACCUUUGUCUUGGUUCCUUCCUUAUCUCGUGCAGCCCAGCCCUUCUUCUCUUCCAGGUUUCCAAAAUGCCUUUCCAGGCUAGAACCCAGGCUGUAAUCUGCUGGCUGGACACAACAAUGUUCAAAAGAAAAACUGGUUAUAUCUUUAUUUGCUUGCUAUCCAUCCCUUGAUUUAGUUUAACUUGUUUAAAAGGCAGUCUCAAUUUGC
rnacentral:lncRNA from 1 species